GAUGAACGCUGGCGGCGUGCCUAAUACAUGCAAGUCGAGCGAACAGACCAUGAGCUUGCUCCUCUUACGUUAGCGGCGCACGGGUGAGUGACACUUGGAUAACCUACCUCUAAGACUGGCAUAACUUCGAGAAACCGGAGCUAAUACCAGAUAAUAUAUUGAACCCCAGAGUGCAAUAGUAAAAGACGGUUUUUCUGUCACUUAUAGAUGGGUCGGCGCCGCAUUAGCUAGUUGGUAAGGUAACGGCAUACCAAGGCAACGAUGCGUAGACGACCUGAGAGGGGGGUAGGCUCCCCUGGAACGGAGCCAAGGUCCGGACUAAUAAGGGAGGGAGCAGAAGGGAAUGUUACGCAAUGGGCGAAAGCAUGACGGAGCACCGCCAAGUGAGUGAUGAAGGUAUUGGGAUAGGAAUACUCUGUUAUUAGGGAAAAACAAAUGUGUAAGUAACUAUGCACGUCUUGACGGUACCUAAUGAGAAAGCACCGGCUAACUACGUG
rnacentral:rRNA from 1 species